UACGGAGGAUCCAAGCGUUAUCCGGAUUUAUUGGGUUUAAAGGGUGCGUAGGCGGAUUUUUAAGUCAGUGGUGAAAGCCUACAGCUUAACUGUAGAACUGCCAUUGAUACUGCAGGUCUAGAGUAUAGAUGACGUUGGCGGAAUAUGACAUGUAGUGGUGAAAUACUUAGAUAUGUCAUAGAACACCGAUUGCGAAGGCAGCUAACGAAACUAUAACUGACGCUGAGGCACGAAAGUGCGGGGAUCAAACAGG
rnacentral:rRNA from 1 species